rnacentral:piRNA from 1 species
UUACCAAAGGUGUUGGGAAUU